UUGUGAUGGAGGCUUCGCGUUAGCGCCGC
rnacentral:sRNA from 1 species